rnacentral:rRNA from 1 species
UACGUAGGGGGCAAGCGUUGUCCGGAUUCAUUGGGCGUAAAGAGCGUGUAGGCGGCCAGGUAGGUCGGUUGUGAAAACUGGAGGCUCAACCUUCAGAGGUCGACCGAAACCAUCUGGCUAGAGUCCGGGAGAGGAGAGUGGAAUUCCUGGUGUAGCGGUGAAAUGCGCAGAUAUCAGGAAGAACACCCGUGGCGAAAGCGGCUCUCGUCGGAA